GUUCAAAAAGACGGGUAUAUAUUAAAAUUGGAAUGCAACAGAAAAGACUAGCAGGGCCUUAUGCAGGAAGAAAUGCAAAUUCGUGAAGCAUUCCAGAUUUUU